CACGUAGGGGGCGAGCGUUGUCCGGAUUUAUUGGGCGUAAAGAGCUCGUAGGUGGCUCGGUAAGUCGGGUGUGAAAUUUCGAGGCUCAACCUCGAGACGCCACCUGAUACUGCUGUGGCUAGAGUCCGGUAGGGGAGCGUGGAAUUCCUGGUGUAGCGGUGAAAUGCGCAGAUAUCUGGAGGAACACCAGCGGCGAAGGCGGCGCUCUGGGCCGGUACUGACGCUGAGACGCGAAAGCGUGGGGAGCGAACAGG
rnacentral:rRNA from 1 species